UUUGAUCCUGGCUCAGAUUGAACGCUGGCGGCAUGCCUUACACAUGCAAGUCGAACGGCAGCGCGGGAGCAGUCCUGGCGGCGAGUGGCGAACGGGUGAGUAAUACAUCGGAACGUGCCCAAUCGUGGGGGAUAACGCAGCGAAAGCUGUGCUAAUACCGCAUACGAUCUACGGAUGAAAGCAGGGGAUCGCAAGACCUUGCGCGAAUGGAGCGGCCGAUGGCAGAUUAGGUAGUUGGUGAGGUAAAGGCUCACCAAGCCUUCGAUCUGUAGCUGGUCUGAGAGGACGACCAGCCACACUGGGACUGAGACACGGCCCAGACUCCUACGGGAGGCAGCAGUGGGGAAUUUUGGACAAUGGGCGAAAGCCUGAUCCAGCCAUGCCGCGUGCAGGAUGAAGGCCUUCGGGUUGUAAACUGCUUUUGUACGGAACGAAACGGCCUUUUCUAAUAAAGAGGGCUAAUGACGGUACCGUAAGAAUAAGCACCGGCUAACUACGUGCCAGCAGCCGCGGUAAUACGUAGGGUGCAAGCGUUAAUCGGAAUUACUGGGCGUAAAGCGUGCGCAGGCGGUUAUGUAAGACAGUUGUGAAAUCCCCGGGCUCAACCUGGGAACUGCAUCUGUGACUGCAUAGCUAGAGUACGGUAGAGGGGGAUGGAAUUCCGCGUGUAGCAGUGAAAUGCGUAGAUAUGCGGAGGAACACCGAUGGCGAAGGCAAUCCCCUGGACCUGUACUGACGCUCAUGCACGAAAGCGUGGGGAGCAAACAGGAUUAGAUACCCUGGUAGUCCACGCCCUAAACGAUGUCAACUGGUUGUUGGGUCUUCACUGACUCAGUAACGAAGCUAACGCGUGAAGUUGACCGCCUGGGGAGUACGGCCGCAAGGUUGAAACUCAAAGAAAUUGACGGGGACCCGCACAAGCGGUGGAUGAUGUGGUUUAAUUCGAUGCAACGCGAAAAACCUUACCCACCUUUGACAUGUACGGAAUUCGCCAGAGAUGGCUUAGUGCUCGAAAGAGAACCGUAACACAGGUGCUGCAUGGCUGUCGUCAGCUCGUGUCGUGAGAUGUUGGGUUAAGUCCCGCAACGAGCGCAACCCUUGUCAUUAGUUGCUACAUUCAGUUGGGCACUCUAAUGAGACUGCCGGUGACAAACCGGAGGAAGGUGGGGAUGACGUCAAGUCCUCAUGGCCCUUAUAGGUGGGGCUACACACGUCAUACAAUGGCUGGUACAAAGGGUUGCCAACCCGCGAGGGGGAGCUAAUCCCAUAAAACCAGUCGUAGUCCGGAUCGCAGUCUGCAACUCGACUGCGUGAAGUCGGAAUCGCUAGUAAUCGUGGAUCAGAAUGUCACGGUGAAUACGUACCCGGGUCUUGUACACACCGCCCGUCACACCAUGGGAGCGGGUUCUGCCAGAAGUAGUUAGCUUAACCGCAAGGAGGGCGAUUACCACGGCAGGGUUCGUGACUGGGGUGAAGUCGUAACAAGGUA
rnacentral:rRNA from 1 species